rnacentral:lncRNA from 1 species
CUUCAACGAGGUUUCAUAACAUACAAUUCCAACAAUUCUCAAGAGAAACAUUUACUAAUGCUAUAUGCAAAAGAGCAUAACAAUAUCUACAAGAACCACAAUGCAUGUCAUGCAUAUGCUUUUCUACCAUGGUCUCCACUACAUGGAGUAGAAGUAUUAUCAUGCAAGCAAUUCCUUCUACUAGUAUUAUAUGCCAUUAUCCCUAUUAGGGUUCACCCCAAGGGCUU